rnacentral:lncRNA from 1 species
UUUUACUUUUACAAACUUUGAUUACACACAACUUGUCUUAAUAUAUUUAAAACAACCAACAUCGAAUUAGAUUGAUAGGAAUAUGAGACCUAAAAAAAUCAGGGGUCUAAAGCCCUUGCUUUGGUGGCAUCCCCCUUAGACCGGCCCUGAAUUAAUGUAUUUAUUAUUGUAACUAUUAUUAAUAUCGAGCUAAUAAUAUUUCAUUUUUCACUUUUAAUCAUUUAUGUGUGGCGCCUAAAUUCAUAACAUUCUUUAUAACCAUACAAGUCUUGCUCUUAGAUGUAUUUGCUUACAAAAUAGUUUUGGAAAGAUGAAUUAUGUCAAAUAUAAAAAUCUGAUAUGAUAGCAGGAUGUAUGUUGUUUGCCUUCCAAGGUUGCUUAUCUUCAGAAAAAUGUUGAUCGAAACCUAGGUUCUGUGAGAUUUUAUUGGUAAAAAUGUCAAUCGGAGCUUAUGUUUCUACAUAUUUUCUCCAUUGAAAACAAACUUCUGAUACAUUGAUGACUUUUCCAACAAAUUCGAAAGAUUUAACAACAAUUAUCUAAUACUGAGUUUGUUGAUUUAGAUCAACUAUGUGUAUCCACGCACCAAGAUAUACAAAAGACUAUUUUUUUUUUUUACCAUUAUCUAAGUUCAAGUAGCACAUAAGAAAAAAAUAAGUCAUAUUAUUAAAAUUUUCAUUGAGUUUCUAUAAUUAUUAGUCUAUAUGAUAUAUUUAAUUAUUGUUUUCUUAUAUUGCAGUUUAGUUUGGUUCAGUUGGUAAAAUCAAAACUUCAAACCAAAUCAAACCAUGCGGUUGAGUAAAAAAUGACUAGAAUACAUCCGAAUCAAAUACGAUUUUUUGUGGUUUCAGUUUGGAUUGGUUUAGUUUGUAGUUUUUCUGUUGAAUUAGUCUGGUUUUGAACACCCUCAAUUCAAUGGCAAAAUAUUCUUAUUUAACGAAU